rnacentral:rRNA from 1 species
UACAGAGGUCUCAAGCGUUGUUCGGAUUCAUUGGGCGUAAAGGGUGCGUAGGCGGCGCGGUAAGUCGGGUGUGAAAUCUCGGGGCUUAACUCCGAAACUGCAUUCGAUACUGCCGUGCUUGAGGACUGGAGAGGAGACUGGAAUUUACGGUGUAGCGGUGAAAUGCGUAGAUAUCAGAAGGAACGCCGGUGGCGAAAGCGACGCACUGGAUCUCUACUGACGCUGAGGCGCGAAAGCCAGGGGAGCGAACGGG